GAUGAAGAACGCAGCGAAAUGCGAUAAGUAAUGUGAAUUGCAGAAUUCAGUGAAUCAUCGAAUCUUUGAACGCACAUUGCGCCCUCUGGUAUUCCGGGGGGCAUGCCUGUUCGAGCGUCAUUAUAACCACUCAAGCUCUCGCUUGGUAUUGGGGUUCGCGGUUUCGCGGCCCCUAAAAUCAGUGGCGGUGCCUGUCGGCUCUACGCGUAGUAAUACUUCUCGCGAUUGAGUUCGAUAGGUCUACUUGCCAGUAACCCCCAAUUUUUACGGGUUGACCUCGGAUCAGGUAGGGAUACCCGCUGAACUUAAGCAUAUCAAUAAGCGGAGGA
rnacentral:misc_RNA from 1 species